UAUUAAUAAUUAUUUUGGCAGAUUAGUGUAAUGAAUUUAGAAUUCAUAAAAGUAAAGUUUUUACAAGUAAUAC
rnacentral:tRNA from 1 species